rnacentral:rRNA from 1 species
CAGCAGUGGGGAAUAUUGCACAAUGGGCGCAAGCCUGAUGCAGCCAUGCCGCGUGUAUGAGAAGGCUUCGGUUGUAAGUACUUCAGCAGUGAGGAAGGUGGUAGUGUUAAUUAGCACUAUCAUUUGACGUUAGCUGCAGAAGAAGCACCGGCUAACUCCGUGCCAGCAGCCGCGGUAAUACGGAGGGUGCGAGCGUUAAUCGGAAUUACUGGGCGUAAAGCGCAUGCAGGUGGUUUGUUAAGUCAGAUGUGAAAGCCCGGGGCUCAACCUCGGAAUUGCAUUUGAAACUGGCAGGCUAGAGUCUUGUAGAGGGGGUAGAAUUUCAGGUGUAGCGGUGAAAAUGCGUAGAGAUCUGAAGGAAUACCAGUGGCGAAGGCGGCCCCUGGACAAAGACUGACGCUCAGAUGCGAAAGCGUGGGGAGCAAACAGGAUUAGAUACCCUGGUAG